AUGGCUCAGAUUGAACGCUGGCGGCGUGCUUAACACAUGCAAGUCGCGCGUGAAAGGACUUCGGUCCGAGUAAAGCGGCGCACGGGUGAGUAACGCGUGGAUGAUCUACCCAUGAGUUGGGAAUAACGGCUGGAAACGGUCGCUAAUACCGAAUACGCUCCGAUUUCAUCUUCGGGGGAAAGGUGGCCUCUGCUUGCAAGCUACUGCUCAUGGAUGAGUCCGCGUCCCAUUAGCUAGUUGGUGGGGUAACGGCCCACCAAGGCGACGAUGGGUAGCCGGUCUGAGAGGAUGACCGGCCACACUGGGACUGGAACACGGCCCAGACUCCUACGGGAGGCAGCAGUGGGGAAUAUUGCGCAAUGGGCGAAAGCCUGACGCAGCGACGCCGCGUGAAGGGAUGAAGGUCCUCGGAUCGUAAACCUCUGUCAGGAGGGAAGAACCGCCACGGUGCUAAUCAGCCGUGGUCUGACGGUACCUCCAAAGGAAGCACCGGCUAACUCCGUGCCAGCCGCAGC
rnacentral:rRNA from 1 species